UAAUGAAUGGGUACAGGACGUCACUGGGACUGUCAUCAAAUAUUCUGGUUCUCUCUCUCUCUCUUUUUUUUUUUUUUUUUUGAGGCAGAGUGUCGCUUUGUUGUCCAGGCUGGAGUGCAGUGGCGUGAUCUCAGUUUACUGCAAACUCAGUCUCCCGGAUUCAAGCGAUUCUCCUAUCUCAGCCUCCCAAGUAGCUGGGACUACAGGAGUGACCCACCACGCCUGACAUGGUUUCACAAUGUUGGCCCAGCUGCCAGAGAAGUUUAACCAGAAGGGGCCACCAGGCCAGCAAAGGCGAGAUGCCCAUGUGAUAUGGGGGCUGGGAGGUGGGGACCAGUACGGAAGGAAAUAAGACCCUAAGCCAUGGAAGAAACCUCCUUGCCGGAGAUAUUGCGUUCCCAAUGGCCUCCAUGUGGUUGACUCCAGAAGGACAGACCACGUCUGCAAUGGGCAUUUUACACUCACCGGGAGUCAGCACGUCCCUGGCCAGGUCAGGAGGCUGCAGCCCGUGACAUGGUUCAGCCGCCCUCUGUAAGGCCUCCUGACCUCAGAGCGGGUGACCGCACGUGGCCUUGCAGUGCAGAUAGCUCCACUGUCAAAUGCACACAGGUAACCCCGGCCCCUUCCUGGACUCUGGGAGGUUUCCAGCGGCCAAUGUCUUACCUGUCCAGAGGGCCUAGUGCGGUUUAGGGCACAUACCGGCCAUUCCUAUCCAGCUUUUCAAGAACCAUAAAGCAAACCAACCAGCGGUUGUGCUGUUACUUCGUAAAUA
rnacentral:lncRNA from 10 species